rnacentral:sRNA from 1 species
AGAACCGUAACAGAUCUUAAAAGCAUAAGUAUUGUAUCAUUGUUAGAAGAUACAAUGACGAAGACUCAUAUGGACUUCGGCUACACCAUCAAAACUUUGAGAAGCAAGAAGAAGCUUUGUUAGUGUUUUGG